AGAAUAUGUUCAUCAGAUCCGACGAUGAUGGGUUUCUUCUUUUUCUACUUUUCGUUCCCAUGUAACAUGAUUUUAUUCUUUAUGUCUCUUAAUUUUGGGGAGUAAGGAAGAUUUCUAGGCUGUGAAUUUGAGAUUGUAUUGAUGUGUUUGAAUCUAGAAAUUGGAGGAGAUCCGAGGGAGAAAAAUAUGAGUGCUCCGGUGAAAGAGGAGAGCUAUUUUUGUGUGGUAAAAAGCUGUGUAACAUUUGUAAUUCUAGAGAUGAUAAGGUAGUAGGUAGAGAACAUAAUUUGUAUUCGAUUUUGUGUGUCACAUUUUGUUUUCAAGGAACUGAGUGUAUUUUAACCGAGUUUUAUCGGCUAAGAAUCUUAGCCUAAGAUGUCAUCAAGUUAGACCAGUGGCCGAGUUUCAAGUCCUACAUCUUACGAGACGCAACACAGAAUGUGUUCCUUAUAACCUCUCUUUGAACCUGUAAGGAGUCUCAAUUGAUCUUAUGGUGUUAAGGUAGAGAGAGAUAUAAGCGCUUGCUAAACCAUGAGCUGAGCUAACUGUUGCACUGAUAUUUAAGUAUCUUCCUAAUCUCUUUGUUGCACUAAACCUGCUCUUGAGGCAACCAAUCUCCGUAAAUUCCAACUAAAGUCGCAGUAGAAGCAUAGGUGGUUAUGAGAGGCUCAUUAAAAUCCAAGAUUUGUGUGUGGUUAUAAAUUUCUACAUGAGAAACAUUCGCAAGUUCCAUAAACACAUUGAACAUUUUGAAAAUUUUUUUAUUGAUUUUUCAUUCUCUUUAACAUUAUUAUCUUCAGGUUUGAGUUUUUUUCAUUGGAAUAUUCUUUGUCUUUUGCUGCUGUUUGCACAGUCUAUUCUCACAAACUUAUUGUCCUCAAGGUCAGAGACCUUUGUCUUUUCUGAAGUACUAUUGACAGCAUAAGGCCAUCGUGUUGAGACCUGGAAGGCUGGCUAUUGUGGUGACAGUGAAGUUGAUCAGAAAUGGUUUCACCUGAGUGUUUCUGGGUUUGUAUAAUGCAUGUAAAGUGGAGACUGUGGCUUGUGUCGGAUCUCUGCAAAGUAUGCCGAAGAGGAAGAUCUGUUGGUGAGAUAAAAGAUGAGGAAAAACACAGUAGUCUAGAAGCGGGUCCCGAUCAGAAUUAACCAACACAGCUGAUGAACGUUAAUAGCAAAUUUAAAAGCAUAUAGGAGAAACAAAUGUGAUCUUGCAACUGAUGUCCACUUAAAUUAUAUCUUCUACUUGGUUGA